AGCUUGUUCACUGAUAAAUGUCCACAUCUCUUCCAGGAUCUAACAAGAGUUUGUGCUCAAAGUAAGAGUGAAAGCCCUGAGAGCAGCAAGGGAUGAAAGACAGGACUUCAUCAUGACCCAUGGAUCUUCACACAAACAAAAUGCUGUGAUGGGGAAAGAGACCUGAGCUUACAUGGGCCUGAUUCCACGUCCUGGCUUUGCUAUGAUCUAGCCAAGAGCAAGUCAGUUCUGAGAGUCUCUGUUUCUACAUCUGCAGAGUAGGUCUUCCAAUAAAUUACUA